rnacentral:rRNA from 1 species
UACGUAUGAGGCGAGCGUUAUCCGGAUUUACUGGGCGUAAAGAGGGCGCAGGUGGCUUUUCAAGUCGGGUGUAAAAUCUCCCCGCUCAACGGGGAGGGAUCAUUCGAUACUGUUGAGCUUGAGAGCAGCAGAGGGAGGUAGAAUUCCCGGUGGAGUGGUGAUAUGCGUAGAUAUCGGGAAGAAUACCAGCGGCGAAGGCGACCUCCUGGGCUGUUUCUGACACUGAGGCCCGAAAGCGUGGGGAGCAAACAGGAUUAGAUACCCGCGUA